rnacentral:tRNA from 1 species
GGUGUUACGAGGCUUAGGUUAUGUUGCUACCAUAACUGAUCAGAGUUCAAUUCUCUGAUAAUACCA